ensembl:snRNA
GUGUUGCAUGAAAGGAGAGAAGGUUAGAACUCCCCUCAACAAGGAUGGAAGAGGCCCUUGGGCCUGAUGACACACAUCUUUUUUU